rnacentral:rRNA from 1 species
CCUACGGGCGGCAGCAGUGGGGGAUAUUGCACAAUGGGGGAAACCCUGAUGCAGCGACGCCGCGUGUGGGACGACGGUCUUCUGGAUUGUAAACCACUGUCCCCAGGGACGAAAAUGACGGUACCUGGGGAGGAAGCUCCGGCUAACUACGUGCCAGCAGCCGCGGUAAUACGUAGGGCGCAAGCGUUGUCCGGAAUUACUGGUCGUAAAGGGAGCGUAGGCGGGGAUGCAAGUUGGGUGUCAAAACUACCGGCUCAACCGAUAGUCGCACUCAAAACUGCAACUCUUGAGUGAAGUAGAGGCAGGCGGAAUUCCUAGUGUAGCGGUGAAAUGCGUAGAUAUUAGGAGGAACACCAGUGGCGAAGGCGGCCUGCUGGGCUUUUACUGACGCUGAGGCUCGAAAGUGUGGGGAGCAAACAGGAUUAGAUACCCUUGUAGUC